rnacentral:pre_miRNA from 1 species
AGCCCCUUGUAUCCGUGCUGAGAUUUCGUCACACACCAGACCACAAGGGCUGGUGAGACUCCCAAGACAAGUGAGGCG